GAAACGACUGCUAAGACUGGAUAGGAGACAAGAAGGCAUCUUCUUGUUUUUAAAAGACCUAGCAAUAGGUAUGCUUAGGGAGGAGCUUGCGUCACAUUAGUUAGUUGGUGGGGUAAAGGCCUACCAAGACUAUGAUGUGUAGCCGGGCUGAGAGGUUGAACGGCCACAUUGGGACUGAGACACGGCCCAAACUCCUACGGGAGGCAGCAGUAGGGAAUUUUCGGCAAUGGAGGAAACUCUGACCGAGCAACGCCGCGUGAACGAUGAAGUAUUUCGGUACGUAAAGUUCUUUUAUUAGGGAAGAAUAAAUGAUGGAAAAAUCAUUCUGACGGUACCUAAUGAAUAAGCCCCGGCUAACUAUGUGCCAGCAGCCGCGGUAAUACAUAGGGGGCAAGCGUUAUCCGGAAUUAUUGGGCGUAAAGGGUGCGUAGGCGGUUAAAUAAGUUUAUGGUCUAAGUGCAAUGCUCAACAUUGUGAUGCUAUAAAAACUGUUUAGCUAGAGUAAGAUAGAGGCAAGUGGAAUUCCAUGUGUAGUGGUAAAAUGCGUAAAUAUAUGGAGGAACACCAGUAGCGAAGGCGGCUUGCUGGGUCUUUACUGACGCUGAGGCACGAAAGCGUGGGGAGCAAACAGGAUUAGAUACCCUGGUAGUCCACGCCGUAAACGAUGAGUACUAAACGUUGGGUAAAACCAGUGUUGAAGUUAACACAUUAAGUACUCCGCCUGAGUAGUACGUACGCAAGUAUGAAACUUAAAGGAAUUGACGGGACUCCGCACAAGCGGUGGAUCAUGUUGUUUAAUUCGAAGGUACCCGAAAAACCUCACCAGGUCUUGACAUGCUUCUGCAAAGCUGUAGAAACACAGUGGAGGUUAUCAGUUGCACAGGUGGUGCAUGGUUGUCGUCAGCUCGUGUCGUGAGAUGUUGGGUUAAGUCCCGCAACGAGCGCAACCCUUAUUGUUAGUUACCAGCACGUAAUGGUGGGGACUUUAGCAAGACUGCCAGUGAUAAAUUGGAGGAAGGUGGGGACGACGUCAAAUCAUCAUGCCCCUUAUGACCUGGGCUACAAACGUGAUACAAUGGCUGUUACAAAGGGUAGCUGAAGCGCAAGUUUUUGGCGAAUCUCAAAAAAACAGUCUCAGUUCGGAUUGAAGUCUGCGACUCGACUUCAUGAAGUUGGAAUCGCUAGUAAUCGCGAAUCAGCAUGUCGCGGUGAAUACGUUCUCGGGGUUUGUACACACCGCCCGUCA
rnacentral:rRNA from 1 species